UAGCGUAUAUUAAAGUUGUUGCGGUUAAAAAGCUCGUAGUUGGAUUUCUGUUGAGGACGGCCGGUCCGCACUAUGUGCGUGUAUCUGGUUCGGCCUCGGCAUCCUCUCGAAAGCCGUAUCUGCGCUUGACUGCGUGGUUUGGACUUCGGGACUUUUACUUUGAGGAAAUUGGAGUGUUCACGGCAGGCCUUCGCCAGAACAUAUUAGCAUGGAAUAAUACUAUAGGAUCUUGGUUCUAUUUUGUUGGUUUCUAGAACUAAAGUAAUGAUUAAUAGGGAUAGUUGGGGGCAUUCGUAUUUAACUGUC
rnacentral:rRNA from 1 species